rnacentral:rRNA from 1 species
UAGGAAUCAUGCGCAAUGGGCGAAAGCCUGACGCUGCAACGCCGCGUGAAGGAUGAAGGCCCUCGGGUUGUAAACUUCUUUUAUGUGGGAACAAGUUCUGAGUGUACCACACGAAUAAGCAGCUUCUAACUACGUGCCAGAAGAAUCGGUGAUGCGUAGGCUGCAAGCGUUAUCCGGAAUCACUGGGCGUAAAGAGAUGCGUAGGCGUCCUCUUAAGUUACUUGUUAAAUCCUUCAGCUUAACUGAAGACAAGCAAGUGAUACUGGGAGGAUUGAGAGUAUCAGGGGAAAGGGGAACACCUGGUGGAGUGGUGAAAUACGUUGAUAUCAGGUGGAACACCAAUGGCGAAGGCACCUUUCUGGGAUAUUUCUGACGCUAAGGCUCGAAAGCUAGGGUAGCAAA